rnacentral:rRNA from 1 species
AGCGAACGCUGGCGGCAGGCUUAACACAUGCAAGUCGAGCGCCCCGCAAGGGGAGUGGCAGGCGGGUGAGUAACACGUGGGAACGUACCCUUUGGUUCGGAAUAACUUGGGGAAACUCAAGCUAAUACCGGAUAAGCCCUUAUGGGGAAAGGUUUACUGCCGAAGGAUCGGCCGCGUCUGAUUAGCUAGUUGGUGAGGUAAUGGCUCACCAAGGCGAUGAUCAGUAGCUGGUCUGAGAGGAUGAUCAGCCACACUGGGACUGAGACACGGCCCAGACUCCUACGGGAGGCAGCAGUGGGGAAUAUUGGACAAUGGGGGCAACCCUGAUCCAGCCAUGCCGCGUGAGUGAUGAAGGCCUUAGGGUUGUAAAGCUCUUUUACCCGGGACGAUAAUGACUGUACCGGGAGAAUAAGCCCCGGCUAACUUCGUGCCAGCAGCCGCGGUAA